ACGCCGCCUGCUGUAUGAACUGUUCAACAAGAACUACCGCAUCAGGAGGACUAUGAUUCAAGCCAAACUCACACAGGAGUUAGGAGAGGCCUGUAAGGCGGACGUCGACCGGAUGCUAAAUGAGUGCUGCAUCAGCCAUGCGGGGAUGUGGUACCUCAAGGGAACGGUUCCGUCCUGACACUGAGAGCCUGCAGUCCCCUGUCAGCCAAUCAAAUCCUCUCCAGGUUGUCUAGUGGGAGGGCAGCCAGAGAGACGAGAGCCAAUCACAAUCAUAGCUCGCCCUGCUCUGAGGGCGUGCGAGUGGAGGACAAAAAGACGGCGGCCGUCUGCUCAGAACAUGAAGGUUAUUUCAUUUCAACUGAAGCAUUUCUGACUGACACAAGCAAUCUGAUGCAGCGCGAAGGAAAGGAACUCACAAGAGCUGAGUGUCUGAGGGGGAUAUAUGGCUAUAUAAGGAAUAUAUAAGGUUUAUCGGUAGAUUUUUCGAUUUGUUGGACCUCAUGUUUGAUUAUUUUUGAAUUAAACUUUUAAAGAUCAUUUUACAAUUGAAAGCGAAGGGGAUCAGAGUGCUUUCAUUUAUCUCCUGAUUUCUGUAUUUUGCUCGAGAAAACACAAUAUACUUUCUCAUAUCAUCAAAAAGAAAAUGUUCAAGCCCUCGAGGGAAGAAAACGUUUCUACUUUUCAACUAUUAACUUAGAACAUUAUCUCUAAUAGGAGUAUGGUAUUUAAUUAAGGUAUUCCAAGUAAACAUGUGAAGGCACUUAAAGAAACUGUGCCAAAUUCAGGAGUCCUGAAACAAUAAGUGAAAAGAAAAUGAUGCAGAAACAAGCAAAAAGUCACAAUGUUAUUAUGCAUAAUAUGAUACAGCAGAAAUCACGGAGCUGGAAACUUCCGCAUGAAAUGUGGCUUUCCCACAUGUCUGUAUUAUGCAGUGGAAUGUGUACUGAACAAUAAAAUCUGAGAAAGUGGAUUCAAUGGGUGAUGAUGAGGUUUGUUUUUGGUUGAAUGUGCAGAGUUUGGUUUUCCUUUUGAUGAGGGACUGAUUUGAUGACGGCCAAUAAGGAUGCCAUUUUGAAAAACAAAAUUCGGGAAUGUUGAUCAGAUUGAACCCAUUUGUAUGAACAAAGUGCAAGGGAUGUGACGAUACUGGCUCGUGGUUCGGUUCAAAUACUGGACCGCCAUUUUUGGAGUGAUGUGGGAGUUGUUGUUGCUAUGGAUACACUGGUGUAUCGCCGUGUGCUGCUAUCUUGAGCCUCAUCUAAAGUGCCUCGCAAGACGAACUCCCACCCAUUCAUUCAGAGAGGAACAGGAACAAUGAUGCUUUUAAACUUCCUAAGAGAGGAAAUGUAGGACAUCAUCAGAUAACGACCGCUGUAUUCUUUUUUUAUUAGUUUGUUACUUCAAUAAACGCUGUUAAUGUCAA